rnacentral:rRNA from 1 species
GUAUCCUGACCGUGCUAAGGUAGCAUAAUCAUUUGCCUUUUAAUUAAAGGAUAGUAUGAAAGGACAAACGAAAUUUAACCUUUAUUAUUAUUACCUUUAUAAUUUAUACUUCAGGUGAAGAUACCUGUAUCUAUUUGAAAGACAAGAAGACCCUAUAGAAUUUUAGUAAUGUGAACCCCCUAAUUUAACCAAUUACUUUUGUUGGGGCGACUAAAGAUUAAUAAAAACAUCUUACGAAAAUAAAAACCAUCCUUUUUAAUGAAGAUCCUUUUUAAGACUAGCAAAACAAACUACCUUAGGGAUAACAGGCUAAUCUUCCUUUAGAGUUCAUAUCGACAGGAAGGUUUGGCACCUCGAUGUUGGCUUAGAGAACCAGCUUGCUGCAACAAGUAAGUAUGGUAGUUUGUUCAACUAAUAAUCCUCUACGUGAUCUGAGUUCAGACCGGA